UGUUAAACAUGCAUUUUUGUUGAUUACUGUUAAAAAUGCCUUAGGAUCUGCAUAGCCCUUCAUUAAACCAAAGGGUCUUUCAGAAGUAGAGGACAAACCACAAAAAUCUCUUAAUGAGAAACAGCAAGAGAAUCAAGAGCUUCUUAUCCGAUGUAUUGGACAACACCUAGGCUUCGCAGGGAACAGACCAAUUGCUGCUAGUAUCAUCUACAAAUGCCUUCUACAGUGGAGAUCUUUUGAAGUUGAGCGGACUAGUGUGUUUGACCGAAUCAUUCGGACCAUAGGCCAUGCUAUCGAGACCCAGGAUAACAAUGACAUCUUAGCCUAUUGGUUGUCCAAUUCCUCGACUCUUCUGCUGCUACUCCAGCGUACAUUGAAAGCAAGUGGUGCUGCUGGAAUGGCUCUUCAGCGCCGUCGAUCAUCCUCGGCUACUCUGUUUGGAAGGAUGACACAUGUGCUGAAUGCUGGCAAAAAUAAGCUUAAAUCAAUGGAUGAGGGCAGAUCUCUUUUGAGCUUACGUGCAUUGAUCUUGAAUGGUAGGAUCCAUCUUGACCAACUGCAUCACCUCAGUUUUUAAUUUCUGAUGUAUAUAGUAAUUUUGCUGGUUGGAAAAUUACAAUUUUAAAUUUCCUUAUUUCCGCUAAUGAAUCCCCCUUUGUGCAGAUUAACUUGUGCAUGAAGGUCUUAAAUACAUGUUUCAAGAUAAAGGCCUUGUAACUAUGAGUUGUGAAGUCUUUAACUCAGUGUAUUAUGUUACAUGGACACUUCUAAACAUAUGGCUGGAGUAAGGAUAUGGGCUGUGUGUCCGACAUGUCCAGUCAAAACUGGGCCCAACAAGCAUGUUUAGUUAUGCAAAUUUACUGUGUAAUUAAUUGAUAGACCUCCCUUAUUAUGUUUCUUUGUGACAUGAUUGCUUUAGAGCAAGUGAAGUGCCAUCUUGAAGAAAAGUCACCAUUCCACCCUAGGAAAUAAAACACAAAUACUAAGAAAUUGUUUUUUAUUUUUUCAUUUUCUGUUGCUUUUACACUGUCUUACAUAAAGUCAGUAUUCUACCUUGAGAAAUAAGAGAAACAUGCCAAGAAAUUUGGGAGUUUAGAUGUAUAAUAUCCACACUUGAUAAGGGGACUUGAGUCUAUGUAACAUGACUAGUGUAUAUAACAUCACUUCAGAUUUGGUGAUAUUUUAAUUAAUUUUACUGGGUGCUUCUUGGCUUAUCAGGUAUGGUCUGCUCCAAAUUAUUGUUAUCGCUGUGGUAAUGUAGCUUCAAUAUUGAGCUUCAAUGAGAAUAUGGUACUGCCACUAAACUUUUCACUCUUUUAACUUGGUUGUGGCUUUUUGGCUCAUUUAUAUAGAUUUGAUUAAUUGAAUUUUCUAUGGGUGAUGUGUUUUACCCCUUUGUCUGUUAGGAGAGAGAGGUGAAGUUCUUCACUGAAACAAAGGAAAACAACCAGAUGAGAGGCCCCAGAACUGGAGUGCCUUUUUUCUUAUGAGUGAGGAUUUGUUUGCUUCAUUACCCUGUACUAUUGUUUGAAGUUUGAUGCACUGUUGUUUUCAUUGUGGGGGAGAGAGAAAGAAGAUAUGGACAGAUGUUUUCCUUAGAGGAUCCCUGAAAAAGAUUACAUGAAUAUUCUUGCAACAUGGAAUACAUUCAAGCUUUUGUUCCUAACCUGCUCCGCUUUUAAAUAGCUUGUUUGUGUUGUAAACGCGUACUUUUCCUUUUUCAUUGCUUUUGUUUUAGUUUAUUAUACAUUUUUUAAAAAUCUUUUAUCUAGUUUGUGAGUUUAUUUGGAAUCCGAUAAGCUUACAACUAGUAGCUGGCCAGUGCUAGAUCAGAUGAUUUGGAAAUUUGAGAGAUUAAAUCUAUAUUCCUCAUUGAGUUAAGACAUUUUAUUUCGGAUUGACUAUUGAGUGAGUGAGUUCUCUCGUCUCUACUUGUAGCAUCCAUUCUAAGGGAACCUACAUGGAUCUCAAACGCCACACCAAAAGGCUAAAUAGGUAAGUUUCUUCGAAGGGCUAUCAGUCCACCAGCAGCAGGCCAGUAAAAAUUUAAGGUUGUGUUUGGAUGUGCAGAAUCAUUUUAUUGUUUGGUGGUUAUUGUUUGGUGCUAAAUAGGUAAGUUUCAUAGUAUGCCUCCUCAUAGUUACAAGGCCUUUAUCUUGAAACGUGUAUUUAAGACCUUCCUGCACAAGUUGAUGGCUCCUUGUUUGUGUAAACUCAUAAGGAUUGGCUGGGCAGGGCUACUAAUUGGGCUAAAUUCAGUGCAACAGCAGGUCUAGGUGUUAUUCACAGAGGCCACCUGCAACAGGGCAGAUCACUGAUGGCCCCUUACUUGCCGCAGAGUGGGGCUGGUGGUGGUGGCAGUCCAUACUCUGAAGGCGGUGCUCUCUAUGCCCUAGACUUGAUUCAUGCAAACCAUGGGGAGGGUAUCAAAACAAUUUCUUCGUGAUAGCCUAUGCAGUACCAACGUGGAGGUUAUUCAGCAUGGUGCAUGCUUGGGUCUGGGCUUGGCAGCUCUUGGAACUACUGAUGAAGAUAUCUAUGACAACGUAAAACUGUGCUUUAUAUUGACAGUGCUGUUUGUGAUUUCCUGUUUGAACCUUGUACUUACAUUUUGUAAAUUAUCUUAAAUUAGUAUGAUAGUUAUUUAUUUAAUAUUUUUCUCAAUUAACCACAAGAUGAGUAUUAUCUCAUCAACUUUGCUAUUGUUUCAGCUUAGAAGCAGUUAAUUUUGUUAGGAAUCAGCUUCGGCAACACGGAGAUGUUCAGGUAAAAAAUUUGCCUCAAUUCUGGUAUACCAGUGUUAUGGUUUACAAAGUUCUAACUUCUUUUGUUCUGAUUUUUGUUAGCUUGUGAGGUGCUUGGAAGAGCAGCUCUGGUAAUGGAUGCGUGAAUGUUUAUCCUAUGUCCCUCUGAUGUUUGAUACUUGAGUGACUUACGAUUUUAUGUUUUGUUCUUAUUCACAAAAGAGAGAGGAAUUAUCCAUUCUCUCUGAACAUGUAUAUAUAUAACUGAGCAUUUUAUGAUGUCAUUAUAUGUCGUGAGGUGAUUUUGUAAAUUCUUUAGUUGUAUCACAGUGUUCAGCAAUUUACACACACACACACAUAUACAGACUACAGAGAGAGUGAGAAAGUGUUUGAUUCGCAAAAUCACCUCCCCAUUGGAAGAACAUUGUGCCAAUUUGCUGGUGGCUUACUCAGCUCAAACUCUUUGGUGCAGAAAUAGUGGAAUACAGUUACAAGAGAAUGAAAGACCCUUAAAAAAAGAAGAAAAAAAUUGACAACAUCAAUUUUUACCGUGAUGUGAAAGGGGCCUAUAUCUAUAAAUUUUAAUGUGAUUAAUAAUUUCUCGACAGAGUAGUUUUAGUUACUCGUCAUAUAAAUGCUGGCCUCUUCUUACAUGUGAAAGUCAGCAGGGUUGAGUGCCAAAUCUUCUGUGAUGAGCCUUUUCCACCUACAUAUUGACUUUAUUUUUUUUAUUUUAUUAUUGGAUAAGUAUUUUGACUUUCUUUAUAUGUCUCACCAAUACAUCCUAUAUGUAAUUUCUUUUUUUAAAGAAAAAAAACUUAUGUUCCACUCACUAUCUGGGGGAUCCAUCUAUUUGACACUGAUUUCCUUUGGUUCUUUUCUUACUUCUGUUUCAACUUUGAUGACUGUUUAAGUUUAUUGAUUCCUUUGUCUACUUCUCUGUUGGAAUGACUAAAAUAUGUCAUUUCCGCAGGCAAACCUGUAUAUAUGUAUAGCAUGGGUGGCCUUGCUGAUUUUUGUGUCGUGCCAGUACAUGGUUUGUGCAUUCUACCCAACACAGUGCCGUAUAUAGAAUCUGCUAUUUUGGGAUGUGCAGUUUUUACCGCAUAUGGUCCCAAGUGUAUAGAGAAGAUGCUUAUUAAUACCAAAUGGUUUUGUUCCAUGAAUAUACCAUAGCUUGAGUUUGGAAGACAGUUGGGAUGGACCAAUCAACUAUUAUCAUUUUUUUACCUUCUAUGUCAUAGCAGUGAAACCAAAUGUCCAACAAACCCAAAUGUCCUUUCACAUUCUCAUCACAGUUGUCACUCCCCUCUUCCCAAUCUUCCUCAAAAUGCUCUUGUUCAUAGUAGAGACCAUCAAGAACAAACAUAGGGUUCUGAGAAGCCAUAAACUUCUUCUGAGAAUAAGACAAUAGAGCCACUGCUCAUUAUCUUCAGGACCUGAAGAUGAAGAGAGACAUGAUCAACAUUGGACCCAUUACAACAUCUGAAUCUGUUUCCUCUCUCACUCUCUUUAGAUCCCAGGGGAGAAGAAAGAAAGGCAGACCCAGAUAUAGAAAGAAGGGGGAGAUUUAUCUGAGAAGGUUAUCAAGUCUGUCCUUUUUUCUUUUUUUCUUUUUUUGCCAAAGUUUUGUUCUCUGAGAUUUAUCUGAGAUUUGUUCUCUGGAUAUUGUUCUCAAAUCAAAUCAGUGAGUUCUACUUCAGUUACUAGCAUGCCAGCAAGAGAGUACAUAGUUCUGAUAGUAAUGGAAUCCAAGGAUUUAGCGAAAUCAAGGACUUAAUUUUUUUUUUGGACUUUUUGCUUGAUGAUGAUAUUAGAAAUUCUAUUUCUGACUUUUUGCAUUUGUAUCUGUUGUUUUGUCCCAUUUUGUGCACAUCAAUUUUGGACUUUGCAAUUCAUACAGGAAAUUGACAGGCAAGUUCCUUUAAUGGACGGAUUGACACUAACGUUUGAGAACACAUCCUGUCCUAGUAAUAUCUGAAGCUACAAGUAUUCUUUAAUUAUUAAUGGUGUAUUUUCACAUCCUACAGGUCGACAAUGCAGCAUCUGACCUUAAGAACACCAAUGUGAGACUUGAGGCUACUGUUAACCAGAGACCGAGAGGAUUGAAGGCCAUGGGAAGCAGCAUGGAGAGCGAUUCAGAAUGACAAUGAAGGAUGGAUGGGGGCUUUCCUUCGGAUUCUUAUUUCUCUUCUUUUUUCUUUUUUUCCUUUGAUCUGAUUGGGGAGUUGGGUGUUUUGGUUCACUUUCUUCUUAUUUUUUGUGUUAAAUGGGGGAGGGAGUGGUGAGAGAGAGAAGAGAAUAAUAUUAUUUUGUGGCUUUGUAUACAAAGUAGUAAUUAAUUUUUUGGUUGA